CUGUAUCGCAUCGCGGUGAGUUUCUAUUUCUUGGUAAUUCGGUUUGUGAAAUGACUAUUAAUUACAAGCACAGCAUCAUCAACGGUGAUUGCAAGAACUACUGCAAUCCAUGCGGUUUUUCCUCUUGGUAAAUGCGUUCUGGUCGUGACCAAGGGUGGUCUCCCAAAUCGGCCGGGAAUAAGGCUAUUGUUGCAGAACGAAACGCCGCAACCACUGCUGUGGUAAAUAUAUUCCAGCAGAGCUGCCCACCGCCGUCGGUGUAAUGAUUUCGAUAGCUGAACAAACGCCAUCUCCUGGGCAUUCCCACAGCUUGCCGACACUAGCUAUUAUAUCACGUGUGAAUGCAACUGCGGCUUAAUUUGGUUAUUAACAGUGCAAUAGUGCCAUGUCAUUGGCAAAAACACUAAGGGCUGCUGGCAAAUAUAGGUUGUAAAGUUUUUGGUAUCGAUGAACUUACUCGAAGAAGACGAUGGCCGAAAACAUAUGAUGAAACAACUUCUGGCAUGCCUUUGACAAUCAUUAAGUCAGACGGAGGCUUCACAUACGAUAUUUCACACAUGGCUGGAAUUCUUA